CUCUCUCUCUCUCUCUCUCCACAUGGGUUAAAAUCAGGACAAAUAAAAGAGAGAUCGGAGUUGCAGGUUUUGCUGUCUGUACAUUUACUCGACUUCAUCCCUUUCAUCUCCAGUCUCUACCUUUCUAUGGUUCACACACGAUCACCCUAAUUUCAUCCAAACACGAUUUAUAAAUUUAGACCUCUCAGACAACAAAAUUGCUGGAGAAAUACCAAGUUGAAUCUGGGAGGUUGGAAAUGGAGGUUUUUCAUAUCUGAACCUUCCUCCGCUUUUUGUCCUCAAUCUGUAUUCCAAUCGCCUCACUAGGGUGAUUCCGGUUCCACCACAAUCUCUAACAAUUUACUCACUGGGGAAUCUUGGGGGUACUAAACCUACAAAUUGUAAGCAAUGAAGAUCUAAAUUAGAUGCAAGCAAAAAACGAAAUCAGAUGAAGAUCAUCGCCUCCUUCCCAAAUUUAUUCGCCAAGGGUUUUUCAGAUGGUAACUCAAGAAUCGAAAGCCUAAAUUUGAAUCAAAACCGAAAUUGUGCGUGUUUAUGUGUAUUAAUUCCCUCAAAUGGAAUCAGAUAGUGUGUUUCUGUUUUU